UUUGACAUUACAUGCCAACAAAAUUACAAAUUUUCGAAUUCAAAGUAAAGCUAUAUGUAAAAAACAACAAAGUAUCAAAGGAAAAUAUGCAUAUAUCUGUUUUAUGAUUUUUAAUACAGAAUCUCUAUAGCAAUUACGAAGUUCAGAGCCAAAAUUUAGUGCCCUUUUACAUUUUGGAAUCAAGUAAUCAUCAGAGUAUUCAAGUGAAACUUUUUCACUAAUUAGGUACCAUAUUAACAAUCAUUGUACUUUGUGAUAAUUUGCUCCCUCGUAACAGUUUUUUUAAUAAAUGUUCCUCCCAUACCUUGAGGCAAUAGUAAUAUCAACCAUCCCAUGAGACUGUCCAAACUCCAAACUAGAAUACCUUAACAUGUCCUAAAAUCACACAUGUACACUAGCAAAAAUGCUUCUUUUCCUAUCUCAAGAGAAACACGAUUAGUUGAUCAUUUCCUACCAGACCAUACAAGUAUGUACAACUCCCCGUCCAAUCUUUUUUUUUCUCAAACAACCCAGGAGAGCUGCGUGUCAUUUCAUUAAGAGAGAAUAGAAAGUACAAAGAGAAGGGAAGAAUCCCGAAUCUAAGUACAGAACACACCCCACCACACACAUAACACAACACACACCACCCACUAAAGGUCUACC
rnacentral:lncRNA from 1 species